AGGACGAUUAACCCCUUGCUCUCCAGGACCGAAUGCAUCCUAACCUCCUCUUUUGUUUGGCCCUUCCUGCAAGCCAGGGAUGGAUUCGCAGCCUCCGCUUGUUGCCUCUGGUAGGCUGCGGUCCUGCGCAGGUUUUUAUUUGGGGGGGGCUCUGCCGAGCUUAUUCCACUGGCGGCCCGAAAACACAACUUCAGCAGGGAGCUUCUGUCCUUACCCCUUGCCUGUUUCAGAGGCUCACCCGUCCGGGCUUUCAGGGUGAUGCUUUUCGAUCUUUAAUCGGAGAGGAGCCUUAUUUUUGUUUUAGGGAAGGGGGGGGAUGCAGGUCAAACUGCAAGAUGGCACACCCCCAGAAGCCCAUCUGGAGCCACUAAAGAGUGCCUGGGAGCGUGCAUGCCAAGGAGCACCAGGAUGGCUGGGUGCUGCUCAACUCCGGAUGGCAACCUUCUGCCCAGUUGAAGUAGCCAAGAUGUAGCAAGAAGCAAACGCGCUAUUUAGCACAGCCACCUGAUUCUCCAACGCCUUCCUGGAUAAGUGGCAGAAUCGUGGCAGAAGCCACUAGUGGCGAAAUCAUGGGCAAUCUUUCGCUUGCCUUCCUUUGAACCUUCAGUGCAAGACUUCUUUCUCUGUAGGCAGCUCCAGCAAGCCUCCCCCCCCCCGCACGCCUCUUCCUGAUCAAAUGCUCAUUUUGUCUUAUUUUUCUGAAAAAGGACUUUUCCGCAAACUUCCAGCCACCUACUUUCACUUUCUUGCCGAAAAUCCCAGAAGCUGAGGUGUUACUUCACCCCGCUUCAGGAAAGAAAGAAAAAAAAAAGAGAGAAGCAAGAAAUGAAACUGACUAAAAACAGGCAGAACAGCAAACUUUCUGGUGUGAAGGAAAGAGAAAACAAAAUACUACUUUUUCCUCCCCCUCCAAAAUGUGGAGCGGGGGGGGGGUGUCUCUUGAGCUGCUCCCCGAGCGCCAGCCUUCCCCAGCCGUGCUUCUGGGGUUUCUUAUCCUCAGCUUGAAAAUCAUUAACAGGAGAGAGAGGCGAGAGGACCCUGCAACACGCGCCACCUAUCUUUGCGGGGAGGGAUAAUUGAAGAGCACCGAACGUGAGCAUCAUGUGCAAACGUGAUCGCCAAGUUUCUCUCUGGGAAAGGAAGGAUCUGGGAUAGAUUAUACCUUGAAGUCUCCGCAAACGCUUUAGUGGGAGAAAUGAAAUUCCACCUCCCCUCCCCUCCCCUCCCUCUGUGCUUCUCUCCCUCCCCCCUCCUCCCCUCCCUCCCCCCUCCCUCCCCAACCAUCAAGCCUUUGGCAUCAUUAUCCUCUUCACUAAAUCCUACUAGAUGCAAGGCGGAAAACGGUGCACACCAUUCACAGAACAGGCGAACUCAAAGGAACUGGAAGUUACAAGCCGAAGCCGGCCACCCCGUGCUUGCUCGGCCGUCCGCAGCUGCCGGGCCUUGCGGUGCGCUCCAGAGUGGGGGCCCUGCCCUACACGCGGGGAGACCCGCACUGGCAGCACCGGAGCCCAUUGCUCCCCCCUUUCCUCGGUUGCAAAGAGUAGGAAACUACAGAAGCAAACUUGGGGCUAGGAGACGGCUGAGAUAACCCAGAAGAUCGCAGGCUCAGAGCGUUUGGGAGCCAGGACUGGGAUGUCAAGGCCCUGAUCCUAAGCACGCUCCCGGGGAGGCAGAGACCUGUCAAGGGAGUCUGUCUCAAACUGGGCUGCUGUGAGUUCUCUUCUGGGGCAGAUGGGGUGGACCGCUUGAGAUUUUCUUGGCCUCCGAGCCAAACGGUUAGUGGAGUCAAAUCGUUUCAGUCCUCUUUACACUUGGAAGGAGGUAGGCAGAUGGACAACCACAGACAGAGAAUGAAGCAUCGAUUAUGUAUGAAAUAGACAUGCAUAUUUUAUACCUGUGCGUUUUUAGACAUGAGCAGCAAGACUGGUGCAUCCCGGUGACUCCUAAUUAAGUGUGCCCAGGACUGCAGGCAGAGUUGCUUACAGAUUUAUUUAUAGGUAGACAAAUAGAAGGUGGACAUCUAAGACAUGUUAACCACAAGAUAUAAAUAUUUAGUAGGGGGAGAGGUAGAAAGAGAAAGCACCUUGAUGGACGGGAAGAAAAGAGAGGGGCUUUGCAUUUCAUGAGGGUAACAAGUCUUUUUGGAGACUUUGGGGAAGAUUAAAAUGAAAAUUAAACACUUAGACUCCACCUUUGCACUAUGGGGAUUGGUUAUGCAAAUAGGGAAGGGAUUUCCUGGCGAAUCCAGCAUUCUACUGUAUGGUUAAUUAAAUCAUCACUCAAAAAGGUUUCCAGUGUGACGCGCCUGUCCUAAUCCAAUCAGGAGACGUAGGUCCUAAAUAAGAAAGAUAUUAACCCCCCCCCCACGCACACACAUCUGGAAGUCAGCAGUUUAGCAAGUAGUGCACAUUAUUAACCAAUUCCGAGUCCACAUUCCCAGGAGAACCUUAAAAAAAAGUCCAACUUAAAGAGUGUUCUUAAGCAAUGCUCUUCUGUUUGCUUAAUCAAAAAGCUGCUUUGCAGGCGCAACAUUGAGGGGUGGGAGACCACAGAUUACAGACGAAGUUCUUAAAAACACAAAAACACUUCGAUAGCUGGGCAGAGAGGGGGAGGGAGACCAUUUGUAAAGGGUACUGUUGUAGCUCUUCACCCAAAGCAGCCUCUCACGAGAUAUAUCAGGUUGGGUUCCCCCCCCCCCCCAAAAAAAAAGUUCAGUUCGUUGAGGCUGGCGUGAUCCAGACUGAAGGUAAACAGGAGCUGCCCCCAGGGAUGGUAUUCCUGGGCUCAGCCAGCAUCUUCUUCGCUUUGACACAGUUAAAUCUAUUAGAGCUGCACCCCCCCCCCCUUUCCCACUGAAGGAAACUGAAACAAAUGCUACGCUGAUCCGACACUCUACUUUUACUUACAUUAAGCUAAGAUAAACUGCUUGUGAACCGUGCACUGAAUGUGCGCCUUGAGCAAGGCAUUGGGAUGCUCGCUCAAGUCACUAGCAAUCGCCCUCAAAAGAGAGCUCCUGAUCUGAGAUGGGUGGGCCAGGGGGAGGUUGUUUGUGGGGAGGGGGGCCCACCACCUUGCUGGCAACCCAACAUAGCAAGCCCAAUCAAAACAUGCAGUCACCCUAACCCAAGCUCAGGGGGAUUAAUUGAUCAAGCUGCAAACUGGCAGUCCAAAGAAACUGACACUAGGAAUGUAGGAAGGUGUGUGUGUGUGUGUGUGUGCACAUUUUGUUUUAUGUAGAAAAAACAUUGAUUUGUUUCUUUGAACUGUAUAAUCCAUAAAGGACGAGGUAGUGCUGCUCUCCAUA